rnacentral:rRNA from 1 species
AAUGAACGCUGGCGGCGUGCCUAAUACAUGCAAGUCGAGCGGACGGACGGGGCGCUUGCUUCUCUGAUGUGAGCGACGGGCGGGUGAGUCACACGUGGCUGACCUACCUAUAGGGCUGGCAUAAGUUAGGGAACCCGGAGCUCGUACCGGAUCAUAUGUUGAACCGCAUGGUUCAAAAGAGAAAGCGGGUCUAGCUGUCACUAAGAGAUGGUUCCGCGCUGCAUUAGCUAGUUGGUAAGGUAACGGCUUACCAAGGCAACGAUGCAUAGCCGAUCUGAGAGGGUGAUCGGCCACACUGGAACUGAGACACGGUCCAGACUCCUACGGGAGGCAGCAGUAGGGAAUCUUCCGCAAUGGGCGAAAGCCUGACCCAGCCACGCCGCGUGAGUGAUGAAGGUCUUCGGAUCGUAAAACUCUUUUAUUUGGGAAGAACAGAUGUGUAUGUAACCCUGCACAUCUUGACGUUACCUACUCAGAAAGCCCCGGCUAACUACGUG